GUCCCAACAUGUGGUUUUUCAAUAUGCUGUGAUGAGUAGCUGGGAUAAAAACGAACAAUGAGUGACUCACAAUGGGAAAGCUGAACAAAUCCCAACUUUUUCUCAGCUCAUCUCUGGUUGAUUUGGCCGGGUGUGUUGACAACAAAGAGGACUAGAGAGAGAUCCGUCGUGGGCUGGAAAAGGUGUCAGAUAACCUGCCGCAUACGGUGACAGUAGAGGACAGUGUGGGCGGUGGUAGCAUAUCGGGUGUCUUUUCACUUUCUGGCCAGAUAUGAUCAUUUAUAGGGUGGGGAAGCUGGAUCUGGAUGGAUGUUCCAAAAUGAACUGGACAUUUAAACCCUAAAAUAUAAUGCUCAUAAACACUUGCAGUGUUCAACAGCGAUGCAAGCCCUGAAGGAUUUACAGCUGCUGUGCUGAAAAACAGCCAUAAGUUCCAUGAACUGAUUUUCCUGUGUAUCACAUUAUUAUAUUCAACAGGUUGCCAAAGGAAGAUCUGGUCUGCCUGAACCAGUUUAUGUACCAAGUACCAAGUACAUGUACCUAAAAUUUUAGUAAAAGCAAUUUAAUUUU